rnacentral:rRNA from 1 species
GAGGCCUGCCUGCCCAGUGACAAACGUUCAACGGCCGCGGUAUCCUGACCGUGCAAAGGUAGCAUAAUCACUUGUUCCUUAAUUGGGGACUGGAAUGAAUGGCCUCACGAGGAUUCAACUGUCUCUUACCUCUAAUCAGUGAAAUUGACCUCCCCGUGAAGAGGCGGGGAUACAACAACAAGACGAGAAGACCCUAUGGAGCUUUAAUUUUCUGUCUUAACUACUAAAUAACUAACCCUACUGGGAUAAAAAAAGAGAAAUAAGCCAGUAAUUUCGGUUGGGGUGACCUCGGAGAAUAAGACAACCUCCGAAUGAUUUUAACCAAGACAAACAAGUCAAAGUAUUAAAAAUCAAAUUGACCCAAUUCAUUUGAUCAACGGACCAAGUUACCCUAGGGAUAACAGCGCAAUCCUAUUCAAGAGUCCAUAUCGACAAUUAGGGUUUACGACCUCGAUGUUGGAUCAGGACAUCCCAAUGGUGCAGCAGCUAUUAAUGGUUCGUUUGUUCAACGAUUAAAGUCCUACGUGAUCUG